rnacentral:lncRNA from 1 species
AUGCAACAAAUACAAUCACCUGGUAGAAUCCAUUUCCUGAGAAAAGGGUGUCUGCUAGUCAAAGAAUUUACUUUUGAAAUGCCACAUGUACAGCUUUCCAGAAAAAAAAAAAAAAAAGGCUAUUUAGUGUAUUUUUAUAUUAAACAGCUACAGCUACAUUUAGAGCUUUCAUGGGUGAUUGUAUUAAAAGUUCAUCAUCUAAACAGCACUCCCAGGGCUCAUCUGAUAUAUCGAGGGAUAUGCCAGAACAUUUGCAGGUGUAAACAGGGUCUGUUCCUUGAGUCUGUCACUGUCUUUUUGUUUGUUCACCAUGCCAGGCUGCUCUGCUGCACCAGCUCCUCGUGGCUCCUGAGCCUAACAAUUCCCAAAAUAGGAGGCAGAAGCCCAACACAGAAUCGAUUGUAUCCAGUAUUUAUGACACUAUUUGGACCCCGUAAUACAAAUAUUUAAAGUCUAACAAAACUAUAAAGUUGCAACUAUAAACGUUUGGGAAUCACCCCCUAAAACAGUGAACAGUGUUUUAACAGGCCAGCAAGAAAAGCUGAAGUUAUUAAAUAUAACAGAGGGUGGCAAACUCAUUUCAUGAAGUAAUAACCCACCCCUCACAUGGAUACAGUUCUAGGCCUGUUCACUUCACAGCUUAGGAAAUUUUGCAAUGGCACCGUAAUCAUUUACGUGUUCUGCAAUUUGCAAAUCAAGAGCUCCCACUGGCAAAUAUUUCUCUGAGUUUGUUCCGUUAUUGGAGAGAGUGCUCAUCCCUUCUGAAAGGAAAUGGGAUCAACUACUGACAACUUUUAGUUAUUUUCAUGGGGAAUAUUUUCUGAUUGGUUCUCCUGCAGAAAUAUUUCGGAUACGGCGUGUUUCUCAAAAUUCUUUUUAAGGCACUCUGUAAGUGUCUCCCCUCCACACAUCCAGGUAACUUUGUAUUGAUCCACAGACCACACGCUUCACGAUGUUUGGCAGUACACUCUACCAGGUUACGCAUCCUCUCUUAAGGCACUUAAGACUGCUUUUUAUUUUUACAUACACCUAACAAUUCCAACUGAAGAAUCUCCUCCUGUUUCAACAGUCUGCCCAGCACACAUGCAUGGGCACACACAGGCUGAGCACUAACCUUACAGAAACACACUUGCUUAAACCCCUCCCAGUACACAUGUCCUAAGAGUAGGCCAGCUCAGU